rnacentral:rRNA from 1 species
ACUGCUCAGUAACACGUAGUCAACAUGCCCAAAGGACGUGGAUAACCUCGGGAAACUGAGGAUAAACCGCGAUAGGUCAUAAGUACUGGAAUGUUUUAUGGCUCAAAUCUACAUGGCCUCUGGAUUGGACUGCGGCCGAUCAGGCUGUUGGUGAGGUAAUGGCCCACCAAACCUGUUACCGGUACGGGCUCUGAGAGGAGGAGCCCGGAGAUGGGCACUGAGACAAGGGCCCAGGCCCUAUGGGGCGCAGCAGGCGCGAAACCUCUGCAAUAGGCGAAAGCUUGACAGGGUUACUCUGAGUGAUUCCCGCUAAGGGAAUCUUUUGGCAUCUCUAAAAACGAUGCAGAAUAAGGGGUGGGCAAGUCUGGUGUCAGCCGCCGCGGUAAUACCAGCACCCCGAGUGGUCGGGACGAUUAUUGGGCCUAAAGCAUCCGUAGCCGGUCUUGCAAGUCUUCCGUUAAAUCCACCUGCUUAACAGAUGGGCUGCGGAAGAUACUACAAGACUAGGAGGCGGGAGAGGCAAGCGGUACUCAGUGGGUAGGGGUAAAAUCCUCUGAUCCAUUGAAGACCACCAGUGGCGAAGGCGGCUUGCCAGAACGCGCUCGACGGUGAGGGAUGAAAGCUGGGGGAGCAAACCGGAUUAGAUACCCGGGUAGUCCCAGCUGUAAACGAUGCAGACUCGGUGAUGGGCUGGCUUCGUGCCAACCCGGUGCCGCAGGGAAGCCGUUAAGUCUGCCGCCUGGGGAGUACGGUCGCAAGACUGAAACUUAAAGGAAUUGGCGGGGGAGCA